AUUGAACGCUGGCGGCAUGCCUUACACAUGCAAGUCGAACGGCAGCACGGGUGCUUGCACCUGGUGGCGAGUGGCGAACGGGUGAGUAAUACAUCGGAACAUGUCCUGUAGUGGGGGAUAGCCCGGCGAAAGCCGGAUUAAUACCGCAUACGAUCCACGGAUGAAAGCGGGGGACCUUCGGGCCUCGCGCUAUAGGGUUGGCCGAUGGCUGAUUAGCUAGUUGGUGGGGUAAAGGCCUACCAAGGCGACGAUCAGUAGCUGGUCUGAGAGGACGACCAGCCAGACUGGGACUGAGACACGGCCCAGACUCCUACGGGAGGCAGCAGUGGGGAAUUUUGGACAAUGGGCGAAAGCCUGAUCCAGCAAUGCCGCGUGUGUGAAGAAGGCCUUCGGGUUGUAAAGCACUUUUGUCCGGAAAGAAAUCCUUGACUCUAAUACAGUCGGGGGAUGACGGUACCGGAAGAAUAAGCACCGGCUAACUACGUG
rnacentral:rRNA from 1 species